rnacentral:lncRNA from 1 species
CUCUCAACUGCGUUCUCCUUUCUUCACAGAGGCUCAGAGAGAGGGGUUCAUUUGUGGAGUCCUUAACUAAUUGUGGCAUAAAUAUGCAACCACUUUUGGCUGAACAAAUUAUUGUCUUUAAAAUGAACUCCAGGUAAAUUUAAUUAGAGAAAAAAAGGUGAUUGACAGGUAUUACUCUGAAUGCAAUGAUUAAAAGUCCUACUGUUGUUAAAAGAAAAAGGCUGAGUCAGGAGUCAGCCAUAUUCUAGAUGUUUUCUUCUUGUGCCGGUGAGUUCAGACAUAAUACAGAUCAGAGGACCCAACUGAAGAAGCAAAACACAGAUUGACUUGAGGAUGCCUCAAGAGCUUUUAUUUUGAUCAUCACAGUUCAUCUGGUGCUGUUAUGGGAAGAUGGACAAAGAGAUCUUUGAGAUCAGGAAAAACACAGAUCAAAAAAAGAAAACCAAGAUGGGCUGUUGGCUGAGAAAUCAAGGUCUUUUUGGAGAAGUUGUAUCUCUAGUUGCUUGGAGAGGAGCAUGUGGUCUGUCUACUACUAUGCAGUGCCAAACGAUAGAUACGUUCCAAUAUGUAAGUAUUUUUUUUUUACUCCUACUAAUUUUUUUCCAAAAUAUCUUUUUCUAUUCUCACUAUAGUUUACUUAUCCCAAGUUAAUGGGAAGUUGAG